CCUCCUGGCCCAAUCCUAGACUCUCUAGGAUCCCAAGAAAAUGGCUGUUCACGUCAGGAAUAUCUGGCGAACUAAAACAUCUUAGUAGCCAAAGGAAAAGAAAGCAAAAUCGAUUCCCAUAGUAGCGGCGAGCGAAAUGGGAGCAGCCUAAACUGUGAAAAAGGGGUUGUGGGAGAACAAUACAAGCGUUGUGCUGCUAAGCGAACCGAUGGAGUGCCGCACCCGAGAUGGCGAGAGUCCAAUAGCCGAAAAUAUCCCACAUAUAAAAAGAGUUUAGAGAAAGAAAAAAAAAAGAGGCCAGUGGUUUGUUCUCUUUCUUUCUCUGGUUGUUUUCUUAGUUUGUGUGUGAACAAUAGGGAGCCACUUCUAGAGAAAAGGCACGGGAAGA
rnacentral:ncRNA from 1 species